GGGCGAUUAACUCAGUUGGUAGAGUGCCAUCCUCACACGGUGGGAGUCACAGGUUCGAGCCCUGUAUCGCCCACCA
rnacentral:tRNA from 1 species